rnacentral:lncRNA from 1 species
CAACAGUGAACAUGGGAUCAAAUUACAAACUAAUUCCUGAGAUAACAACAUAGGAAAUCGGAUGGACAUGUAAAGUGGUCGUUAUAGAGAAACAGCUUUUCGAACAUCACAAAAAGGGAAUGGAAUGUAUCAGCACCUUUGGUUGAUGGAUACUGCUGUAAGUCAUUUACAUAAAUUUUCUUCUGCGCUUGUCCAUAAUCCCACAUGAAGGUGCACAUUUCAAAAUCAUAAACUCUUCCAAUAUAAUUGUGACUACUUUAUUUUAAGUAUUUCGGGUUUGAUGUGUCAUAGAUUUCUUUCUUUUCUCAUCUACGACAUGUGUCAUGUGUCUAUGAGACAAUAAACAACUAAUACUUGAUUUUUUUCUUUCUUGAAUUUGAAUUGAAUGCUUUCAUACAAAUUAUUACUCUUGUUUUUCUUGUUUAUGAAAGAACAUACUCAUUGUUGUGCUUGCAUGAAAGAGUUACAAGAUUUUGUUGUUGUCUAACAAUGUGGAAAUAUUAUUUCAACUUUAAUUGAUUUCUUUUUUUAAAAUCCUUGAGAUUUUCCUCGUAGUUGUACUCAUCUUAGCUGAAUUUUUUAUUUGAAGUUGAAAUAAUGAAUUUUAAACUAUGUGUUCAGAAUUACCAUACAUCAGACUGCAUAUUGGUCGAACUUAUCUGCUUUAUUUUACAUAGUUGAAUCUGAAAAAACUUUACUUUACAUAUUAAUAAUGUAUAUAGGAAAACAAAGUCCAAGCAACUAUAUUUGCUCAAAAUAUUAAAGCUGUGGAAAACACAUUGGUGCCAUCAAAGACAUACUUGAUCUCAAAUGCAUAUGUGAAACAAAUAGAUGAAAGAUCUAGAUCAACUUGUGGAAACACACAAUGGACAAUUAGUGGCUUAACCCGAAUACAAGAAAUUAAUGAAGACAACAUCCCUCUCAUGGAAUCAUGUUUCCAGUUUACAACAUUUGAUGAGCUUUACAAGUACAUAGACAUGUAUAUUGAAAUAGGUAAUUCAAAGUAUUACCACUUUCAUGAUAAUGCAUAUCACAAAAAAAUUUAUGAACUUUUAUUGGCAGCAUUUGUAGGUAUUGUUGUUGAUGUUCAUCCAAAACAAAAAUUUCCAAACAGAAUUGCAGAUUCAGCUAUCCAAGAUAUUGUUCUUGUCAAUGAAAGUUAAGUAUACCUCAAGUUAAAACUUUCAAAAAGAGACCAAUGUUUCCUAAUUAUCAUAAUUCUAAUUCAAUUUUUGUAACUUCCUGUGCAGGUUGCAAGCAAUUAUAUUAACUAUCUGGGACAAUUUUAUAGACCAUGAAGGAGCUGAGAUCACCGACUGCUUUAUGAAAAAACCAAUGAUUGUUGGUAACCAUUUAAAGGUGACGUCAUUCAAAGGUAGAUAAAGUCAGAAUUUAAUUGUCACUUUGAACAAACCAUGUGCUAAAAUUAAAUUUUAAUGUGCCCACACAACUGUAAUAUAUUCAAUAGGAAUAUCUUUGUCCACAAAAGUAAACAGUUCAAUCUUCGUAAACCCGAAGUUCCAAAAACUUGCUAAAUUGAGACAAUGGUUAGUACACAUGUUUUGUUAUUCAUAAAAAUAUUUUAAUUCCAACACUUAUUUCCCAUGACAUUAUUGUAUUUAAUUGUUUACAUUUUUUUUGCACUAAUCCUUACAUACUAUUUAAGGAGUGAAAGAAACGAAGAAAUGCUGACUGAGAUGAUAACUCAAAAGACAUAUGAUUUAUCAAAGACUCCCGCUAUUCCACCUCCUCCGAAGAAUCGAAUCAUCAGCACCAGAGAUAUUUCAAAAAAUACAUAAACUGUAUGUUAAAAAAUAAAAUAAAAAUUUUACUAUUCAUUACUUUAGAAUUCCGAUCUGGAAAAUGUAAAAUAUUUUCAUUAAAAAAGUAUCCUAACUUUCCUUUUUCUUGUAACUACUUCAGCGUAAACCAUUUUGGAUAACUGGUAAGAUAGAAAUGAGCAUAAGAAGUCAGUCUCUUCAGUAUAUGGCAUGCGACACUUGUGGUUGGAUGUCUUUUGCUCGAUUGAAUGAAAUGUAUUUUUGCAAUUGUUGCAAGUACAUGCUUGCAAGAGCAGUUCCAAGGUAAUAACCGUAAAUACUAUGUGCACAAAAAUAUUCAUUUAUUAUAUUGUUUAAUUUCAAAUUUUUGCCUAAAAUUAUUGUGAAAUUUU